GAUGAACGCUGGCGGCGUGCCUAAUACAUGCAAGUCGAGCGAACAGACGAGGAGCUUGCUCCUCUGACGUUAGCGGUGGACGGGUGAGUAACACGUGGAUAACCUACCUAUAAGACUGGGAUAACUUCGGGAAACCAGAGCUAAUACCGGAUAACAUGUUGAACCGCAUGGUUCAACAGUGAAAGACGGUCUUGCUGUCACUUAUAGAUGGAUCCGCGCCGCAUUAGCUAGUUGGUAAGGUAACGGCUUACCAAGGCAACGAUGCGUAGCCGACCUGAGAGGGUGAUCGGCCACACUGGAACUGAGACACGGUCCAGACUCCUACGGGAGGCAGCAGUAGGGAAUCUUCCGCAAUGGGCGAAAGCCUGACGGAGCAACGCCGCGUGAGUGAAGAAGGUCUUCGGAUCGUAAAACUCUGUUAUUAGGGAAGAACAAAUGUGUAAGUAACUAUGCACGUCUUGACGGUACCUAAUCAGAAAGCCACGGCUAACUACGUG
rnacentral:rRNA from 1 species